GUGGAAGUCAGCUGUUCUCACUGUGGGAACGGCACGGCCUGGCCAGUGCCCACAGCUCUCUCGCCUCAUUUUCUUCACUCCUGCUCUUGUAAUGGAUGCGGUCUUUGAGGCCUGGUUUUCUCGAGAUCUCCAUGAACAGAGGCAGAAGGGAGGCAGGUGCUGUGGACAGGGUGUUUCUGCCUGUCUCCCCAAUCCGUGUGUUGAAACCUUCACCUCCAAUGUGAUAGUAUUUGGAGGUGAGGCCCUCAUGAUGACAUUGUCACCCUCAUAAGAAGAGACACCAUACUAAGGAGCUUGCUUCCUCUCUCUAACAUCGGCCAUGCGAGGAUACAAUAAGAAGGCCAUCUCCAGACCAGGAGGCAGGUUCUCAGCACACUGGGUCUGUCAGCACCAUGAUCCUGGAGUCCCCGGGUUCCAGAACUGGAAGACAUCAGUCCAUUGAUGGGAGAGAGCCAGUGGGCAGAGAUGGUAGGUGUGAGGCAUGCAGGACCCACCAGCUCCUCCUUCUCCUUGUGGGUCAGCCUUGCCUCCAGCAGCCCGUGUCCCUGGGGUAGAGGCUCAUCUAGGCUAUUAUCCAGCUGUGACGUGGUGGGGCCUCUGGCCAGAGAAGGGCUAGGCUGAGCUACACUGCUCUAGAGAGCCAUGCUGUGGGUCUGGGUUCCAUCCAUCAACACCCGGGGGAAUGCAAGCAUUGGAUUUUGGCACCUGUUGGGAGAGUUACAGGAAAGGAGGAGGCCAGAGCCCCUGAGGCUGGGAUCGAGCAGAACUGAGUUGGCCUCGU
rnacentral:lncRNA from 1 species